CAGCAGCCGCGGUAAUGCGAAGGGUGCAAGCGUUAAUCGGAAUUACUGGGCGUAAAGCGUGCGUAGGCGGUGAGUUAAGUCUGCUGUGAAAUCCCCGGGCUCAACCUGGGAAUGGCAGUGGAUACUGGCUCGCUAGAGUGUGUCAGAGGAUGGUGGAAUUCCCGGUGUAGCGGUGAAAUGCGUAGAGAUCGGGAGGAACAUCAGUGGCGAAGGCGGCCAUCUGGGACAACACUGACGCUGAGGCACGAAAGCGUGGGGAGCAAACAGGAUUAGAUACCCCCGUAGUCCCUGUCUCUUAUAA
rnacentral:rRNA from 1 species